ACCAGGCUUUCAAGUCCUCCAAUAACCAUUGAACAACUUUACACCUGAGAGCGCGAACUAAGGUUUAAGAAAUAGGAUGUGAAGAGACUUCUCUAUCCCUCCAGGAAGUUUCUCUUGAGUAGAUUAGCAUACAUCACAGACCUCUUUGGCCUUGGGCAAGUUGCUCUCUAUACCUCAGUAUCCCAAUCUAGAAAAUUAGGAUACUAUAGUACAUACUCACCUCAGAAGCUUUUGAUAAGGAUUAGAGAUAAUUAAUGCAAAAUACUUAGCAUAGUCCCUCACAUAUAUUAAGUGUUACAUUAGGUGAUAAAUCAUAUCAGUUAUUUAAUCUAGUCCCUUCUUCUUUGUUUUCUUUUUCUUUUUCCUUUUUAGGGCCGCACCUGCAGCAUAUAGAAGUUCCCAGGCUAGGGGUCACGUCAGAGCUGCAGCUGCCAGUCUACGCCACAGCCACAGCAAUGGCAGAUCUGAGCCGCAUCUGUGGCCUAAGCCACACCUUGUGGCAAAACCGGACCCUUAACCCACUGAAUGAGGCCAGGGAUUGAAUCUGCGUCCUCAUGGAUACUAGUAGGAUUCUUCUUUUAUUUUUUAAUUUUGUUUUUAAGUCUCUUUCAUUCAUUGUAAUAUCCCAAAGUGCCUAGGACUCUGCCAGUUAGAAAUCCUCAAUAAAUAGUUGUUGAAUGAAUGAAUAAAGCAAGGAUCAAUGGAAAGAGAAAAGGAAAACAAAACAAAACAAAAGUCACACACCACACUCUUACCCACUGAAAAUGAGCCUGUGAAUGUAUUGAAAUUUCAGCACAUUUAAAGAAGUUUUCUAAAACAGCCAAAUCAACACGGAUAAGCCUCAAAACAUGGAUAAGCCUACUGGUGCUUCAAUGCAUAAUAUUAUUUAGAUACAAUUUUAGAACAUGAAUGAUAAUAUCCAUUGUUUAGAUAUUCAUGCAUAAGUAGUAAUAGUACUAAAAAUAGUAUUAAAGACAUUACCAAGGUAAUGGUAAAUUCAAGUGGUUACCUGUAGUGAGGGAGAGAGGGGCCUGAGUUUCUUGGACAGGACUAGUCGGAUUCUUAACCUGCUGAGCCACAGCAAGAAUUCCGCCUUCACUAUGUUUGAGAAAACAUGCAGAGGAACUAAAUGAUUAUCUCGAGUAUAAUAAAGAUAGGGGAAGGAGGAUAUCUGAUUUGCUUAUGAAGGUUUACAAACCUAAUUUCAGGGGGAACUGACCUCAAAUUUAAUGUUAAAAUAAUACAUUUAUUAAGAAAAACGGGGUUAAGACUAGAUGCUACAGCACUAAGAAAAAUGACAAGACAGGGCAACCUUCAAGACAAUUCAGGAUAUUUGAGGCUUAGAACUGAAAAUUGUUUAAUUCUCUUAAUGUGCUAAUUUAGUUUAUUUCUAUAUUCAAUGAAGUGGUGUCUGUGCAUUCACUAAAUAAGACAGUUUGUAAUGCCUCAUUCUUUUUUUUUUUCUAUUGAAUUAAGUACAACAUUAAAUCAUUGACAUGACCUUAAGAGAAUCAAUAUUGUCCCCGGGCACAAGACCACUCACUCCACAGCUUAAUUGGUCCUUAGCUUUCAGCUUUUGACUCUAGACUUAUCCAACACAGUAGCCACCAGCCACGUGUGGCUAUUAGGCCCUUGAUAUGUGGCUAGUCCAAAUUGAAUUGUGCUAAUAAGUGAAAAUACACGUUGAUUUUAAGGCUUUGGUUAAAAAAAAAAGCAAACUAUCCCAAUGAUUUUUAUUUAGCUUUUAUGUUUCUACUGGACAGCACUGCUCUGGACCCUGAGAUUUUUCAGCAGGUGGGGGUUAUCAGUCCUAAGGCCAAACAUUGCCCUUUCUAAACGUUCUCAGACUCCGGUGAUGUAACUCUGUCGCCCUUCCUGAAGGUCAGGCAACUCCAUUAUCCCAUUCAGAAAGGAGCCCCUAAAAGGAUGAAGAAGUUAAAGAACAGUUUUAAAUGUAGAUAACCAAGCGAAUCCACCUUUCAAAGAGUGGAAGACAAUAGGUGAUUAUCAACCCAAGGCGACCUCUAGAUUCAUCUUAAGAUUCCUGAUCGGCUCUCUUAUUUUACUUGGAUUAUCUCUUUUAAUUGUCACAACGACUCUAACAUUUAGGUGCUAUGAUUUCAUCCAUUUGACAAAUGAGUAAUGGGAAGUUAGGGAGCUAGCAGGCAUGGUGUAGAGUUUGGCCCUAGUUUGUCCAGUUUGACCCUAGUUUGUGCCAUAUCUAUCGAGAUGAUGAGCACCUUGUAUGUGCUGUGCCUUGUCCUUAUAUGACCUAACAGACACAUACUAGGUGACAAGUAUGUGUAGUAAAGUGUACAUAUAGUAUGACUUCAACUAUGAAGCUAUAUAUCUAUAUGUGAAUAUAUAUUUCACCCUUCAACUUUUCCAUAUCUUCCAAACUUUUGACAAUAUACAAUACUGUUUUUGUGUCUCUCCAUUAUUAUUUAAAUCACACAAAAUGUCACUUUAAGAGAACAUACAAGGCUGCGGACAUGGGCUCUGUGUGCUGUGACCACUCCCCUCUCCUUCCCAUUCCCCUUCGAGCUGGUGUCCCUCUCUUCCAUUUUGCGUCUCCAUUCUUUCUCUUUCAACCUCUCUUCUACUUUUUCACUUCUCCUCCCGCCUCCCCUCUCCCUUCUUUUUGAGAAGACUGACAUUGAAUCAAAUGUUACUUCUUACCUGGUGGUUUCAAGCAGAUUCUUUGAGCCUCUGGAGUCCCAAGGAAGGUGCUCAAGUUGGGGGCAGGGCGCUUAAGGGCAAGACUUCUAAAAAGGAUGAUUUUGGAUAAAAUAAAUGGUGGGAGAGGAUUUCCCCUUGUGGCUCAGGGGAACCUGACUAGUAUCCAUGAGGCUGGGGCUUCAAUUCCUGGCCCCGCUCAAUUAAGAUCCAGCAUUGCGUGAGCUGUGGUAUGGGUCACAGACACGGCUCAGAUCCAGUGCUGCUGUGUGGGAGCUGUCACUCCGCUUUGACCCCUAGCCAGUGAACUUCCAUAUGCUGCACCUGCGGCCCUUAAAAAAAAAAAAGUGGGGGAGAGCAUUGCAGGGUGAGUGACAAAAGCAGCGGAAACUAAGGUCUGAGGAUUCCUUCAGUGAAAGAGAGAUGAGUAGAGGGUCUCUUACCUUACUGGGAUUACUGCCUCCCUGUGCAGGAACUCAGAGAGGAUGUGGACCUUAGCUGAUUUGACCUCCUGGAUUGAAUUAGUCCUGGGUGUAUAAUUGACUUUGAUAUGUGGCCUUUGGAUCUGAAUUGGGUUUAAUAAGAUUUAACUGCUUCAGAGGGCUUUAUAAGAAUUCAUUUUAUCUUUCAAAUCUGAUUUCAAAUGCUACCUACUUUGAAAGGCCUUCUCUGACUUUGGUGCUCUUCCUCCAGCACUCCUAUUGUGCCACAGUUGAUACAUACCUUAUUCACACAAUUACCUACAUUGCAUUGUAUCUUACUCUAUGGGAAAUGGUUCCUUUAUGCCUUGCUUCAGGAAUCCUUAGGGAUAUGCAUGUAUCUUAUUCAUAUUUGUAUCCUAGGCCUAGCACAGACCAGGAGCACACUUAGUUGAACAGCAGGUGUUCAAUAAUGAUUUUUUUUAAAGGAUAUUAAUAGCUAACAUGCAGUCGCACUGUGACAAGCCUUAUGCCUACACUGUUUCAUCCACUGGAUACUUUAGGAGAAAAGUACUUUUAUUAUCCCUAUUUUACAAUGAGAAGACUGAGCAUAAGAAAUUAAUUUAGGAGUUCCCGUUGUGGCGCAGUGGCUAACGAAUCCGACUAGGAACCAUGAGGUUGCGGGUUCGGUCCCUGCCCUUGCUCAGUGGGUUAAGGAUCCGGCGUUGCCGUGAGCUGUGGUGUAGGUUGCAGACGCGGCUCGGAUCCCGAUUGCUGUGGCUCUGGCGUAGGCCGGUGGCUACAGCUCCGAUUGGACCCCUAGCCUGGGAACCUCCGUAUGUCGUGGGAGCAGCCCAAGAAAUAG
rnacentral:lncRNA from 1 species